GCAAGUGCUGGCUUCUGUGCCCACAGUGAGGACUGGUAUUUCACUUCCUUAAGUCCCCAAGAUCCAAGCCCAUUACUUGCCUUCAGAAAAUUAUUGCACAAUAUCUGAAGACUUAGGCUGCUACCCACCUUUUUGCCUUUGAUUACCAUAUUCAGAAACAGCCAAAACAGAAGAGACCACAGAGGCAGAGGUGAAGUCCCUGUCAGGGCUUCACCCAGGUUUCACUAUGCUACUAGCUACGCAGUUGGGAUAAGCAACACACUACCUUGAAACCUCAACUUCAAACAUAUUAAAGUUAAUAAUAGUAUCUCUCCA